rnacentral:rRNA from 1 species
AUGGCCUUGUCGGAGAUCCCCGACGAGCUCCUGGUGGAAAUCCUCCUCGGCCUUCCCACCCCAGAGGACCUCAUCCGCGCCUCCGCCGCCUGCGUCUCCUUCCGCCGCCUCGUCGCCGACCGCGCCUUCCUCCGGCGCUUCCGCAAGCUCCACCCCGCGCCCCUCCUCGGCUUCCUCGACUACAAAGGAUUCCACCCCGCCGAACCGCCUCACCCCUCCGCGCCGGCGGCCAGGGCCGACGGGCCGUCGCCAGCGCCGCCGACUUCGACUUCACCUUCCUCCCCGCCACCUACUGGGAGUGGGACUGGACCGUGCGGGAAGUCCGCGACGGCCGCGUCCUCCUCGACAGACCCUGCCGCCAUUCAGGGGACGUCAUUCAGAGUGAUCUGGAUGCUGCUGCUCAAAACUAAGCCGAUGGCCGCUGUUUUCUCUUCCUCCACAGGGCAAUGGCGAGCCAUUACAUCCCUGAUCCACAGCGACUCGUUACCUGGCUUUGCGUUAUCAACAUGGAAGCUUUGGUUCGUGUCGCGCCAUUACGCACAUGGUUGCUUCUACUGGGUUUCAGGUACCAGUGAAAAAUUGCUCGUGCUUGACAUCCGGACGAUGGAGUUCUCCAUGGUUGACCACCCACCCUGUGCCAGAUAUUCGGGCGAUGAUGUGGCCAUCGUGGAGGCAGGCCAAGGCAUAACUCUGAUGUUUGUGCCUAAACCGGACACGUCUCGCCUAAUUUAUACCGUUUGGCGAAACAAUGGUGGGAGUUCCACUCACUGGCAGAUGCAGAAUGAGCCAUUCUCGCUGGAUUCUGGGUCCGUGAUCAAGGGUGCGGUGGGUAGGCACUUGCUCCUAUAUUAUGGUGGAAGCUCGUCAGUUGAGCGAGGUUGUUACACGCGGGUGUGUGGUUCAUAUCCCGACCCGUCAGAAGCAUAUUGCAACUUCCCACCAUCGUUAUUAUCGUCGCCGAGAGUGUCAAGUGGCACACGCCAUGCUGAUGCCCAGGGAGCGGGGGAUGAUUUGCUGGUGCCUGAACUAUGA